rnacentral:rRNA from 1 species
GCUUGCUUUCUUUGCUGGCGGACCGGCGCACGGGUGAGUAACACGUAUCCAACCUACCCUUUACUCGGGGAUAGCCUUUCGAAAGAAAGAUUAAUACCCGAUAGCAUAAUGAUUCCGCAUGGUUUCAUUAUUAAAGGAUUCCGGUAAAGGAUGGGGAUGCGUUCCAUUAGGUUGUUGGUGGGGUAACGGCCCACCAAGCCUUCGAUGGAUAGGGGUUCUGAGAGGAAGGUCCCCCACAUUGGAACUGAGACACGGUCCAAACUCCUACGGGAGGCAGCAUG